rnacentral:rRNA from 1 species
GAACGCUAGCUACAGGCUUAACACAUGCAAGUCGAGGGGCAGCAUUUUAGUUUGCUUGCAAACUGAAGAUGGCGACCGGCGCACGGGUGAGUAACACGUAUCCAACCUGCCGAUAACUCCGGAAUAGCCUUUCGAAAGAAAGAUUAAUACCGGAUAGCAUACGAAUAUCGCAUGAUAUUUUUAUUAAAGAAUUUCGGUUAUCGAUGGGGAUGCGUUCCAUUAGUUUGUUGGCGGGGUAACGGCCCACCAAGACUACGAUGGAUAGGGGUUCUGAGAGGAAGGUCCCCCACAUUGGAACUGAGACACGGUCCAAACUCCUACGGGAGGCAGCAGUGAGGAAUAUUGGUCAAUGGGCGAGAGCCUGAACCAGCCAAGUAGCGUGAAGGAUGAAGGCUCUAUGGGUCGUAAACUUCUUUUAUAUGGGAAUAAAGUUUUCCACGUGUGGAAUUUUGUAUGUACCAUAUGAAUAAGGAUCGGCUAACUCCGUGCCAGCAGCCGCGGUAAUACGGAGGAUCCGAGCGUUAUCCGGAUUUAUUGGGUUUAAAGGGAGCGUAGGUGGAUUGUUAAGUCAGUUGUGAAAGUUUGCGGCUCAACCGUAAAAUUGCAGUUGAAACUGGCAGUCUUGAGUACAGUAGAGGUGGGCGGAAUUCGUGGUGUAGCGGUGAAAUGCUUAGAUAUCACGAAGAACUCCGAUUGCGAAGGCAGCUCACUAGACUGUCACUGACACUGAUGCUCGAAAGUGUGGGUAUCAAACAGGAUUAGAUACCCUGGUAGUCCACACAGUAAACGAUGAAUACUCGCUGUUUGCGAUAUACAGUAAGCGGCCAAGCGAAAGCAUUAAGUAUUCCACCUGGGGAGUACGCCGGCAACGGUGAAACUCAAAGGAAUUGACGGGGGCCCGCACAAGCGGAGGAACAUGUGGUUUAAUUCGAUGAUACGCGAGGAACCUUACCCGGGCUUAAAUUGCAACAGAAUAUAUUGGAAACAGUAUAGCCGUAAGGCUGUUGUGAAGGUGCUGCAUGGUUGUCGUCAGCUCGUGCCGUGAGGUGUCGGCUUAAGUGCCAUAACGAGCGCAACCCUUAUCUUUAGUUACUAACAGGUCAUGCUGAGGACUCUAGAGAGACUGCCGUCGUAAGAUGUGAGGAAGGUGGGGAUGACGUCAAAUCAGCACGGCCCUCACGUCCGGGGCUACACACGUGUUACAAUGGGGGGUACAGAAGGCGGCUACCUGGUGACAGGAUGCUAAUCCCAAAAACCUCUCUCAGUUCGGAUCGAAGUCUGCAACCCGACUUCGUGAAGCUGGAUUCGCUAGUAAUCGCGCAUCAGCCAUGGCGCGGUGAAUACGUUCCCGGGCCUUGUACACACCGCCCGUCAAGCCAUGAAAGCCGGGGGUACCUGAAGUACGUAACCGCAAGGAGCGUCCUAGGGUAAAACUGGUAAUUGGGGCUAAG